AUGGAGCCGACCUUGAAAUACCACCCUUUAAUGUUUGAUGUUCUAACGUUGACCCGUAAUCCGGGUUGCGGACAGUGUCUGGUGGGUAGUUUGACUGGGGCGGUCUCCUCCUAAAGAGUAACGGAGGAGCACGAAGGUUGGCUAAUCCUGGUCGGACAUCAGGAGGUUAGUGCAAUGGCAUAAGCCAGCUUGACUGCGAGCGUGACGGCGCGAGCAGGUGCGAAAGCAGGUCAUAGUGAUCCGGUGGUUCUGAAUGGAAGGGCCAUCGCUCAACGGAUAAAAGGUACUCCGGGGAUAACAGGCUGAUACCGCCCAAGAGUUCAUAUCGACGGCGGUGUUUGGCACCUCGAUGUCGGCUCAUCACAUCCUGGGGCUGAAGUAGGUCCCAAGGGUAUGGCUGUUCGCCAUUUAAAGUGGUACGCGAGCUGGGUUUAGAACGUCGUGAGACAGUUCGGUCCCUAUCUGCCGUGGGCGCUGGAGAACUGAGGGGGGCUGCUCCUAGUACGAGAGGACCGGAGUGGACGCAUCACUGGUGUUCGGGUUGUCAUGCCAAUGGCACUGCCCGGUAGCUAAAUGCGGAAGAGAUAAGUGCUGAAAGCAUCUAAGCACG
rnacentral:rRNA from 1 species